AUUGAACGCUGGCGGAAUGCUUUACACAUGCAAGUCGAACGGUAGAGGGGGCAACCCCUCGAGAGUGGCGAACGGGUGAGUAAUAUAUCGGAACGUGCCCAGUCGUGGGGGAUAACGUAGCGAAAGUUACGCUAAUACCGCAUACCAUCUAAGGAUGAAAGCGGGGGAUCGCAAGACCUCGCGCGAUUGGAGCGGCCGAUAUCAGAUUAGGUAGUUGGUGGGGUAAAGGCUCACCAAGCCAACGAUCUGUAGAUGGUCUGAGAGGACGACCAGCCACACUGGAACUGAGACACGGUCCAGACUCCUACGGGAGGCAGAAGUGGGGAAUUUUGGACAAUGGACGCAAGUCUGAUCCAGCCAUUCCGCGUGCAGGAUGAAUGCCCUCGGGUUGUAAACUGCUUUUGUACGGAACGAAAAGGUCUCUCUUAAUACGGGGGACUCAUGACGGUACCGUAAGAAUAAGCACCGGCUAACUACGUGCCAGCAGCCGCCGUAA
rnacentral:rRNA from 1 species